rnacentral:lncRNA from 1 species
AACAUUCAGGUACUUGACCCGGGCGUGUCAAGCCUUCACCCGACCGGGUGAACAUUCUGUGAACAAAGGGAGAUGCCACCUUUCAAGCUGAAAAAAAAAAAUAAUAAAAAAAGGAAAAACAAUAGAUAAAACCACGUCGCACACAUCUCUGGCCGUCGGAUAUCCAACCGGCGGUCGUCUUUAAUCAGCCACCCUCACCACACCGGAACCCUAACUAUCGCCCACCACCACCCUCUGUUGUCUUCUUCAAUCGCUGGCUAUCACCCACGAUAAACGCCGUCCACCCCCUUCGCACUCCGACUCCGGCUCCGAUCACGAACAACAUCAGGUAUGUUCUUUUUCUCUUGUAACAACACAUCCGAAGCUUCAUCAUAUGAAUAUUGGUCAAACACUUGAAUUGGAAUUGAUUUGCUGCAGUGAUUUUGUUAAACUGAGCAUUUACCUCAUAUGGUAAUUAUGUUCUAAUUGUUUGUGUCUAUCUUGAGUUUAUUUAGAUUAGAGUUGCGUAUCACGACUCAGUUUAUGUACUCUAUCUUAGAUAAAAUGAGGUAUGUCACUGUGUGAGCAUAUUGUGGAUUGAAUCAUGGUGCUUAAUGUUUUUAGUCAUUCAAAAGAAAAAGCAAAUAUAUAAUCUUAUUGAUGAACCACAAUGUUUAUAAACCAUUGUCAUGACCUUAUAUAUGAGUGAAACGAAACGAAUAACCGCAACCGCAUUAGUAGAUUCCUUACACACUCAUCUCCGAGCCUCGAGGACGAUGCUAAAUCUUAAGUUUGGGGAGGUUGAGAUUAGAGGUAAUGUCUGUAUUCUCAUUUUAGCAUGCAUAAGUAGUCGCAUAUAGUUGCAUUUUUC